rnacentral:lncRNA from 1 species
CGGGGUUAGAGAUGGAUUUUAUGGAUGGUAAGCAUCUGGGUUAUUUUCUCGAUUGGUAUUUUGGACAAGUGAAGGGGCAGAGAUAGACGAUAUGUUAUUUGGCUGAUCCCCGAGAAUAGGCAUACUGAGGGAAGGGAUUUGGAGUGGAGUCAUGUGUCCUCCUGGAGCGGUAGCAUUAGCAGUGAUGGCCAGGUGAGCCAAAUUUUGAGUAUGAUUUAUUUCCUCCUAAAGCAUUUCAAGCUUUCUUGCGAGUUCUGCAAUCAUCUCACUCUGUUCCGCUAUUACAUUGUCCCUGAUGGUCAAUGCAUUUUCUUCAUCAUUUCUGGUCAUUAUUGAAUGAUGGUCAGAGGAUGGGA